CCUUCGAUAGCUCAGUUGGUAGAGCGGUGGACUGUAGAAAAGUUGCGAAAGAAAAUCAGCUUGCAAUGUGUGCAUUUGUUGUUGAUCACUUUCAAACAAUAGAGAGAAAUCCAUAGGUCACUGGUUCAAAUCCGGUUCGAAGGA
rnacentral:tRNA from 1 species